AACGAACGCUGGCGGCAUGCCUAACACAUGCAAGUCGAACGAGACCUUCGUGUCUAGUGGCGCCCGGGUGCGCAACACGUUGGAACCUGCCCUUAGGUUCUGAAUAACUCCCCGAAAGGGGUCCUAAUACCGGAUUAUAUCUUCGGACCAAAGAUGUAUCGCCUUUGGAUGUGCCCGAGUUUGAUUAGUGUGUUGGUAGGGUACAAGCAUCCCAAGACGACGAUGCAUACCUGGUCUGAGAGGAUGAUCAGCCACACUGGGACUCAGACCCGGCCCAGACUCCUAGGGGAAGCAGCGGGUGGGAAAAUUGGACAAUGAGCGAGAGGCUGAUCCAGCGCUGCAGCGAGAGUGAUGAACGGGUUAGGGUCGUAAAGCUCUUUUACCCGAGAUGAUAGUGACAGUACCGAGAGAAGAAGCGCCGGCUAACUCCGUG
rnacentral:rRNA from 1 species